rnacentral:rRNA from 1 species
UAAGAAGUCCCGCCUGCCCUGUGAUUUUUAAUUUAACGGCUGCAGUAUCUUGACUGUACAAAGGUAGCGUAAUCACCUGUCUUUUAAUUGAAGACCUGUAUGAAUGGCAUCACGAAGGUUUAACUGUCUCCCCUCUCCCAUCUAUGAAAUUGAUUUCUUCGUGCAGAAGCGAAGAUUACACUAUAAGACGAGAAGACCCUGUGGAGCUUCAGGUAAUACUAGUUGUAGUUACCACUUAAUUACUUACUGAAUUUUACCUUUGGUUGGGGCGACCGUGAUGAAAAGCAAAACCCUCAUAAGGAAUGAACCAACUUAGUUAUGAAUGACAGUUCUAAUCUUCAGAACUUCUGACCUACCAGACCCAGUAUAACUGAUCAAUGAACCAAGUUACCCCAGGGAUAACAGCGCAAUUCUCUUUAAGAGCCCCUAUCGACAAGAGAGUUUACGACCUCGAUGUUGGAUCAGGACAUCCUAACGGUGCACCAGCUAUUAAGGGUUCGUUUGUUCAACG